AUAUAUAUAUAUAUAUACAUAGAUACACAUAUAUAUGUACUUAUUUGCAAGUGAAAUAUGCAGUGAUCAAGGAUAACCUAUCCUAACCUUUAAAUUUUAUAUUUGUUUUAUAGUUUCCUUGCUUUGGUGUGGCUUGCUGUUUCGCAUGUAGUCUCUGUCAUCCCCGGCUAUUUUCUUCUGUCGGACAUCACGAAUUGAUAUCAGAAAAGCCGGCAUUUUCUAAAUUAUUCCGACGAAACUCUCAAGUAGUAAAGUAACAUAUAAUUGGCGCCAUAAAGUUUCCCACACAAACAAACAUUAUACAUCAACAAUUGGGUUCUCGAUGGCUCUGAACCUAGCCACAUCAGACAGGAAUGGACAGGAAAUGACAGUGCUCACACCCGGGAUUUCGUGAUUCCCGUACAGGUGCUGCGCCAAGAGGCCAACUCUGGAAAGAGUUUCAUCAUGCAGCAUAGACUAUCGAGGAGAAGGAACGACGGGCCAAUUCAACUCCAAAUUAAUUUCGAAGGCCUUGUGCAGAGAAACUGGAAAACUCCCAGUAAAAGAUCGACUGAUUCUUCUCUCUGCUAUUGCUCCAUGAAGAAACGUUAAUAUUCCGCGUCAACUAUAGUGCCUGUUCAAGGGAUCAACCUCGAACGACAUUCGUAGCUUUCGAUAACGUUGUGAAGUUAGCUUAUCGACUUCGAAGUUUAGUCAGUAAGCGACUAGCAAUCGGUCUAUUAUCAAUUGCCGACACAACUGUCUUCUGUAAAGCCUCCGAUAAUUACUCUUGCAAGUGGAUAGAACAGCAGUUUACUAACCGUCUCGCGCUAAUCAAGAAUGACAAGAAGACACGCUUGCGAAGCGAGUG